rnacentral:rRNA from 1 species
CGUGCCGGUAACAAACCGGAGGAAGUGGGGAUGACGUCAAGUCAUCAUGGCCUUACGGCCUGGGCUACACACGUGCUACAAUGGUCGGUACAAAGGGUUGCCAAGCCGCGAGGUGGAGCUAAUCCCAUAAACCGAUCGUAGUCCGGAUCGCAGUCUGCAACUCGACUGCGUGAAGUCGGAAUCGCUAGUAAUCGUGAAUCAGAAUGUCACGGUGAAUACGUUCCCGGGCCUU